CAGUAUUGGCGACGCGGAGGGACAUUACCGAGUUUACAACUCCCAAACCCAAUGUGAACGUUACCAAACUGUUGCCUCGGCGGGAUCUCUGCCCCGGGUGCGUCGCAGCCCCGGACCAAGGCGCCCGCCGGAGGACCAACCAAAACUCUUAUUGUAUACCCCCUCGCGGGUUUUUUACUAUCUGAGCCAUCUCGGCGCCCCUCGUGGGCGUUUCGAAAAUGAAUCAAAACUUUCAACAACGGAUCUCUUGGUUCUGGCAUCGAUGAAGAACGCAGCGAAAUGCGAUAAGUAAUGUGAAUUGCAGAAUUCAGUGAAUCAUCGAAUCUUUGAACGCACAUUGCGCCCGCCAGUAUUCUGGCGGGCAUGCCUGUCCGAGCGUCAUUUCAACCCUCGAACCCCUCCGGGGGGUCGGCGUUGGGGAUCGGCCCUUUACGGGGCCGGCCCCGAAAUACAGUGGCGGUCUCGCCGCAGCCUCUCCUGCGCAGUAGUUUGCACACUCGCAUCGGGAGCGCGGCGCGUCCACAGCCGUUAAACACCCCAAACUUCUGAAAUGUUGACCUCGGAUCAGGUAGGAAUACCCGCUGAACUUAAGCAUAUCAAUAAUCGGAGGAA
rnacentral:rRNA from 1 species